rnacentral:rRNA from 1 species
UACGUAGGGUGCAAGCGUUAAUCGGAAUUACUGGGCGUAAAGCGUGCGCAGGCGGUUGUGCAAGACAGAUGUGAAAUCCCCGGGCUUAACCUGGGAAUUGCAUUUGUGACUGCACGGCUAGCGUGUGUCAGAGGGGGGUAGAAUUCCACGUGUAGCAGUGAAAUGCGUAGAUAUGUGGAGGAAUACCGAUGGCGAAGGCAGCCCCCUGGGAUAACACUGACGC